UUUUCACAAACUCGGCCACCCUUUGGUCCACAUUAGGCCAAGUUUUCGAGACUCUACUGUACUGAAAGGACUUUGCAUAGUUUUUAGACCUGCAUAAACCUUUAAAUCAGCAUUCAUCAAUCAAAAUUUAAUGCAUAAGUAAUGUUUUCUGCACAGUCACAUUAUUAUAAAUGAGUGUAACUAAUUUCUUGUUAUAAUACUUUGUUUAUAAUUUUGUAACCAAUAAAUGUUAAGUGCUUACAUUCCAAAACACAUUUGAAAUUCUUUUAAUUAGUGUGCCAUUUCAUAUUAAUAACAUAAAAUUAAAUACCUAAGCAUUAAGCCGAUUAGUACUUUAAGUAUUGUACUUUACUUGUGUAUAACACUGUAUAAAUUCUUUAAAAAUAAUCUAAUUGAAUUAUGUUAUAUAAAAAUAUGUAAUUAAAGAAUGUUUUUAAUAUCUUUUAACGUCACCAGUACAGAAUAGCAAAUACUUUCUACUUAAAUAUAGUUAUUGUCAGUGCUUUUUUGGGGGGAAAAGAAAGGUGGUGGAACGCCAUUCCAUUGAUUUUAUGACCCAAAAAAACCGCUGAUUAUUGUAUUUUAUAAAAUUUUAAUAAGUAUUUCAUUUGCCGUUUUCGUCGUGUGGAGGAUUCUAAAAAUGACCCCGAACAUUUCUUUAUUUUUGUACUCAACGAAUCUUGAAACCUCCAGAAUUGCACAUAAAGUCGAGAGGUUCUGUAUGUACACGUGUGUAUAUUGGGCAUACGAUUUUGUUACUCAGUUUGAAGCGUAAUAACUCCUGCUCCUAUGGUGGAAAAUUUCUGAAAUUUUGCAGGAAAUUUGUGUAUUAGAGGCACAAAUAUUGGUGGUUAAAGGUCGAGGGAGUAGUGAGAAAGGGGCCGCUUUUCAAACCUCGAUGGGAUCCUGCCAUAUCAAGAUUAUACUGGUUACUAGCAUUUGCAACAUUCUUUUAAAUCAAACUCAUCUCUAAAUUCAGCUUUUUGCCAUUUUUAUAAUAAUUAAUGAUAUAAACGAUUUUUAUAAAUACUUUACAUUGUGGUUCGUGUUGCUUACUUUACCGUAUUUGAGAUUUUGUCAUUACAUUUGCACCUCAUGGAUAGAAAGAAGGCUAUUUUCGUAACCUUGGAGAGUUUGGCAAGGGCAGUGAGGAAAGUGUGAGGGAACCAUCACAUUCAGCAUUAACUACCGAUGAAAAUUAACUCGGUUUUUUGGGGGGUAAAACUACCGCCUCAAUACCGUAAGUUGAUAUCGCAAUACCUUGAUCCCUCGGCCAGAUGUUACACUUUAUCUUACGUAGUUCGAUAGUGGGACACGUGCCAAACUAUUGUCCUGCUACUAUCAAGCGGCAUCAACGCCCUGGUGUUGGUUUGGCGAAUUGUUGAGGAUGUCUCCCGAGAGGACUUUCUAUAGGAAGUUGCCACAAUUUAUAUGUCGGAGACGAGAUUAAGGCUGAAAAACUCCACAGACAGUUGGUGGACAACCAACCCCUGACCUAGUGUUUAAUUGUUUUAUCUAUACGGCCACUGCUGUGUCUUUCAUUUUUAUUGCUUUUUAAACAACUUCAAUACAUAAUUAUUUUUAAUUAAAAUGUUCAUUCAUAUAAAAAAAAACUAUAAAUAUUAAUAUGCAAAUUUACACUUCAACUGGGAACUAAGAAAGUAACUGAUCCAAACACAAUAUAACUUCUGUUCCUAUUACGACGCUUCUUCCAAUGACGUAAUCUCAUCGUAAACUGCUAACUUCCUGUAUUUCGUUACGUUUGCUAGUCAGAUUAUAAUAAGAAACAUUACUUCUAUAUAUUAUAUUAUUAUCCAAUAAUUAAAUGCCGCUAACGACACAUUUAAACCAAUAAAAUUGCAAAACAUAUUUUCUAAUUAUUUUAAGAUUUCGUUGAUAAUGGUUGCAAUUCCCGAACAAUUUACGUAAAGUAUAAGAUGUAUCCGCAACACCAAAACACGAUAUCACGUGCUUAAAUUUGUCGUUAAUCCGUCCGUAUAAACUUUUUCGUAUCGGCUUUUCUUUACAGCUACAAUUUGUCGUUACGUAAAGAACGUUGCACAACGUAUCGGAAGUGACGUCACAUUCCUUUUUUUAAAUUGUUUAUAUAAGAAGAGAGAGACGUUUCGUCACGUUGCUCAACAUUUUUUCUCAAUACCACGACGUUUAGAAUAACUUUAAAAAGAUAAUUUCGUGAAGGCACUCGUCUACAGAUGUGAUUAUCUUAUCUCGACGCUAUUGCUACACGUUAAGACACUGGGCACAUUGCCAAGUAUUAUAGCUUUAAAUACAGUUAGAUAAGUAAUUAGGUAUCAUCGAGUGGGGGUUGUCCUGGUGAGUAUACGAUAAAACUCCAGUUGGGUGUGAGUAGAGCAAGUUCUUUAUGAUUUUCGAGCGUUGCAUGAUCCUAAAACUUCCUCCAUUCAUCCAUAUCUUUGGUGGCAUCUUUUCCACCUGAACUGAUAACACCUGUAUUUUCUUCUACCUUUAACGCUUAGUGAAGGGUUUCUCACGUGGAGUUUUGUGGGUUUUCAUAACCUGCCUAACACUUAUAUUGAAGUCAAUUUUCCAUUGUAUGUAUUUAUUAUAUUACGGAUUCUACAACGUUUUAAAGUGCGAAGAUCGAUUACACGGAUAUUAAAAUGGGAGAAGAGUAUCGAACUAAGACAGAAGAUUCUUCCUUUAAAGAGGAAUUAAAGAUUAUCCAAGAACAGCUAAUGAAUAGAUACAAGACAAAGUAUGCAUAUAUGACGCAUUUCCUUUCUAGUGAAGAUAACUUUUCAAUAGAAGAAUAUUUUAUGGAUGUAAAACUUCAGAAAAUCGAUAUUUUACGACGCAAAACUGGAGAAACCAUUCAAAUUAAAGACAUUUUCCCUGAAGAAACUAAAAUGCAUCGGAUAGUUUUGAUCACAGGAGAUCCAGGAUGUGGUAAAACCACCAUUUGCAGAAAAAUAGCGUACGAUUGGGGAAAGAAUGCAGGAAGUGAUUAUUUAAGACAAUUCGAUGUCGUAAUGUUAAUUGAAUCACGCGAAUUAGUUGAGAAGGAUAUGGAUAAUUAUAUACUCGAUUACAUUAAUGAACAUUUCAAGUUCAGGAAUCAACUAAGAAGACCUACGUGUAAUUUUCUGAUCAUUCUGGAUGGAUUUGAUGAAAUCCAAUAUAAACAAUGCUUAAAAAACUUCAUAACUGGUGAGCGGACCUUUAUAAUUUCGCAUAUAUCAUUUAUUGUUACCAGUCGUCUACCUAUCGCAGAUGAAAUUAGUAUAAACUUCGACAACCAAUAUUGCAUCGAAGGAUUCUCUUUAGAACAGAAGGUAAAUUACAUCGACUUAAUGAUUAAAGAAGACAAAGAUAAAAAGGAUUAUCUCAUCAAUUUCGUAAAAAACGAUGCUUUCGAAUUAGCACAAUACCCAAUGAUGUUGCAAAUGUUAUGUUUCCUUCCUGAUAGUACUGUUUACAGAGACAUAAAGACAAAGACUGAUUUGUUCAUUUCCACUUUUCAUGCUAUUAUAGAAAGAUAUAAAAGGGAGAAAGAACACAAUCAAACACUGAAAAGGGGAACAUUUUUUGAUGGAGAAGAUUUAAUCCUAAAAUUAGGAAACUCGUGCUAUAUAAAGGAAUUUCAGCAACUCAAUAAGGAUGGUGUUUCAGGUACACAAAGAUUAACAGAAGAAGAUUUCCGGAAAACUUUCAGUGAUGAUGAAUACCAAUUCAUCAUUUGGCUGGAUAUAUUUAAGAAAGAUUCGGAGGGAAACAGUGAACAAUGUAUCGAAUUUAUUCAUAAAUCAUUUAUGGAAUUUGUUGUGGCUUUUUACAUUUUUCAUUCCAUGGACACAGUUACGAUUCCAUACGUACGUGGUAUUUUGUUAUUCAUUUUUGGUUUGUUUAGAGACGAUCCGUUUACAGGAAACUUCUUAAAUUUUCUCAGAGGAAACUUCUUUCAUCCUGUAACAUGGAGGAAUUUCUACAAUGAGAUUAGAAACGAAAACAAUAGAGAAAUAUUCCGAAAGGAAACGAGAAUUGUCUUUUAUUACGAUUGUUUCGACGAAUUAUUGAAAUUAACCACUACUACUGCGCUUAAUCCAAUAUACAUUAGCAUACCUGAUCCUUUUGAUAUUUACCAAUCAUUUAACGUUUGUUUACUUUUAUACAAUGAUUUUCCUAAUCCUAUUAAUAUCUACAGAAACACGAAAAAAGAAUUGAUGAAAUUAGAUAAAAAUCUGCCCUGUAACCAUACUAAAGUAUAGGUCAUAAUACAAAAGACAUUUUGUAAAAAUCCUCCAUCCGACCUUGGCGAUAGAUACAGAAAUCUUCAUAAAUCCGUUCAAUUUUUAAGAUAUUUAUUCAAGGGAGAAGAUUGGGAAAACUUCAGCCUUUAUUUCCACGGAGUCGUUCACAGUUUUAAAUCGGAAUUUUCUAUUAUCUGCGAGGAUAAUGUUGAGACUUUUAGUAAAGUUGAUCGAGAAUCUACAGUAAAGAUGAGAAGGGAACUUAAUUCGGUAUUCAUAAGAGAAGUUAUAAACAAGGAGAGUGCUUCCACCGACCCAACCGAAGAACCAAUGAAUUACUUGGAACCAUUCACACUGAUCGCUUCAUCUUCAGAUAAGAAUAUAAUAUAACCCGAAAUACAUCUACAUAGUUGAAGAUCGGAGAUUUGGCCAGGACCAGAAUGGAACUCGUCGUAUUACCGAG